UACGUAGGUGGCAAGCGUUGUCCGGAUUUACUGGGUGUAAAGGGCGUCAGCCGGGAAGACAAGUCAGAUGUGAAAUCCCGCGGCUCAACCGCGGAACUGCAUUUGAAACUGUUUUUCUUGAGUACCGGAGAGGUCAUCGGAAUUCCUUGUGUAGCGGUGAAAUGCGUAGAUAUAAGGAAGAACACCAGUGGCGAAGGCGGAUGACUGGACGGCAACUGACGGUGAGGCGCGAAAGCGUGGGGAGCAAACAGG
rnacentral:rRNA from 1 species